rnacentral:rRNA from 1 species
AGAGUUUGAUCCUGGCUCAGAGCGAACGCUGGCGGCGUGCUUAACACAUGCAAGUCGAACGCGCAGCAUUCUGUAGCAAUACAGGGUGUGGGCGCGUGGCGAACGGGUGCGUAACACGUGGAUAACCUUCCUUCAGGUGGGGAAUAACCCAGUGAAAAUUGGGCUAAUACCGCAUAACAUCGCGAUGGCACAUGCUGUUGCGUUCAAAGGCGCAAGUCGCCAGAAGAGGGAUCCGCGGCCGAUUAGCUUGUUGGCGGGGUAACGGCCCACCAAGGCUUUGAUCGGUAGCCGGACUGAGAGGUUGGCCGGCCACACUGGAACUGAGACACGGUCCAGACUCCUACGGGAGGCAGCAGUGGGGAAUCUUGCACAAUGGGCGAAAGCCUGAUGCAGCAACGCCGCGUGGGGGAUGAAGCUUCUCGGAGUGUAAACCCCUUUCGACCCGGACGAAUGCCCGCAAGGGUUUGACGGUACGGGUAUAAGAAGCCCCGGCUAACUACGUGCCAGCAGCCGCGGUAAUACGUANGGGGCCAGCGUUGCUCGGAAUUACUGGGCGUAAAGGGUCCGUANGCGGUGCGGCAAGUCGAUAGUGAAAUCUCUGGGCUUAACUCAGANGCUGCUAACGAAACUGCCGUGCUAAAGUGUGA